rnacentral:rRNA from 1 species
GAUGAACGCUAGCGGGAGGCCUAACACAUGCAAGCCGAGCGGUAGAGUUUCUUCGGAAACUUGAGAGCGGCGCACGGGUGCGUAACACGUGUGCAACCUACCUUUAUCUGGGGGAUAGCCUUUCGAAAGGAAGAUUAAUACCCCAUAAUAUAAUGAUUGGCAUCAAUUAUUAUUGAAAACUCCGGUGGAUAGAGAUGGGCACGCGCAAGAUUAGAUAGUUGGUGAGGUAACGGCUCACCAAGUCAAUGAUCUUUAGGGGUCCUGAGAGGGAGAUCCCCCACACUGGUACUGAGACACGGACCAGACUCCUACGGGAGGCAGCAGUGAGGAAUAUUGGACAAUGGGUGAGAGCCUGAUCCAGCCAUCCUGCGUGAAGGAUGACGGUCCUAUGGAUUGUAAACUUCUUUUGUACAGGGAUAAACCUACCCUCGUGAGGGUAGCUGAAGGUACUGUACGAAUAAGCACCGGCUAACUCCGUG